UUUUCUCCGGCUUCCUCCACCAAUAAUAACUGGCCGCCACGAAAUAGCCCAAAAGCGGUGCUUAAAAGUGGCGUUAAAACACCAAAAAUCAAAUCAAAUCAAAUCAUUACCUCCCCUGUAACUGUAUCGUAUGCCCUUAAAUUUAUUCACUGUUUUACAGUUUAGUAUUACAAUUAUACAUGUUGCUUUAAUGCUUCAUUACCAGCGCUUACAGGUGUGAUUAAUAUGAUUAAUAAAAUGCUCCGCUGGGCGCAGCUUGAUAAGACCGCAGAGGUCGAACCCUGAACAGUUGGGGCAAGUAUGGACACAACAUUCAAGCUUGAUACAGCACUGAAUUUGGAUUGUGAUUAAAUAUUUGACACAGCAUAGGUUUCUGACACAGAAUGAAAGUGGUCUAAGAACUUAAAAAUUUUUAAUUUACCUAUUCAUACAUGUGAUGGACUGUGAAACUCAGAUCAGGAGAUUGGGAAAUUUUGGUCAGGAGAUUAGGACUCAGAUCAGGAGGUUUUUAAUUGACAUAAAUUUUGUAGUAAAUGUAACAGUGUGCUGUAAAAAUGGUCUUUUAAAGUGUGUUUUCUUCAACUUUCCAUCCAAUUUAUUAUGUUUAUAGUACCCUUGUACAUAUAAAGUUUCUCCAUCUUUAUAUUCUACAUGUUCAAUCUAACAUUGUUUUUUUUCAGUAUGUUCUUUAAAUUUUUUACUUCAUAUUCUAUAAAACAAUCAUUGCAACCAGAACAUUUGUUUAACUAUCUGCAAAUAGAUAUUAUUUGCAUACUCAGAAAAUCAUUCUAACUGUAAAACAAGGGUCAUAGUUAU